CCUACGGGAGGCAGCAGUGGGGAAUAUUGGACAAUGGGCGAAAGCCUGAUCCAGCAAUGCCGCGUGAGUGAUGAAGGCCUUCGGGUCGUAAAGCUCUUUUACCAGGGAUGAUAAUGACAGUACCUGGAGAAUAAGCUCCGGCUAACUCCGUGCCAGCAGCCGCGGUAAUACGGAGGGAGCUAGCGUUGUUCGGAAUUACUGGGCGUAAAGAGUACGUAGGCGGUUAUUCAAGUCAGAGGUGAAAGCCCGGGGCUCAACCCCGGAACUGCCUUUGAAACUAGAUAACUAGAGUCUUGGAGAGGUUAGUGGAAUUCCGAGUGUAGAGGUGAAAUUCGUAGAUAUUCGGAAGAACACCAGUGGCGAAGGCGACUAACUGGACAAGUACUGACGCUGAGGUACGAAAGCGUGGGGAGCAAACAGGAUUAGAUACCCUGGUAGUCCACGCCGUAAACGAUGAUAACUAGUUGUUCGGUCACUUGGUGANNAGUGAGCAGACACGACAUAAUUAAUUACGUCCUCGGGUAGGUACGGUCGGCGAGAAGUAAAACUAAACAAAGAAAGUAAGUAGGCGNGUAAGAGUGCGACGACGACACGAGGAGGAGG
rnacentral:rRNA from 1 species